rnacentral:rRNA from 1 species
UACGUAGGGGCCUAGCGUUGUCCGGAUUUAUUGGGCGUAAAGAGCGUGUAGGCGGUUAGGUAGGUCCGUUGUGAAAACUCGAGGCUCAACCUCGAGACGCCGAUGGAAACCCCCUAACUAGAGUCCGGAAGAGGAGAGUGGAAUUCCUGGUGUAGCGGUGAAAUGCGCAGAUAUCAGGAAGAACACCCGUGGCUAAGGCGGCUCUCUGGGACGGUACUGACGCUGAGACGCGAAAGCGUGGGGAGCGAACAGG